rnacentral:rRNA from 1 species
GACGAACGCUGGCGGCGUGCCUAAUACAUGCAAGUUGAGCGCUGAAGGUUGGUACUUGUACCAACUGGAUGAGCAGCGAACGGGUGAGUAACGCGUGGGGAAUCUGCCUUUGAGCGGGGGACAACAUUUGGAAACGAAUGCUAAUACCGCAUAAAAACUUUAAACACAAGUUUUAAGUUUGAAAGAUGCAAUUGCAUCACUCAAAGAUGAUCCCGCGUUGUAUUAGCUAGUUGGUGAGGUAAAGGCUCACCAAGGCGAUGAUACAUAGCCGACCUGAGAGGGUGAUCGGCCACAUUGGGACUGAGACACGGCCCAAACUCCUACGGGAGGCAGCAGUAGGGAAUCUUCGGCAAUGGACGAAAGUCUGACCGAGCGACGCCGCGUGAGUGAAGAAGGUUGUCGGAUCGUAAAACUCUGUUGGUAGAGAAGAACGUUGGUGAGAGUGGAAAGCUCAUCAAGUGACGGUAACUACCCAGAAAGGGACGGCUAACUACGUG